UACGUAGGCAGCAAGCGUUGUUCGGAGUUACUGGGCGUAAAGGGUGUGUAGGCGGUUGGAUAAGUGUGGUGUGAAAUCUCCCGGCUUAACUGGGAGGGUGCGCUACAAACUGUCUGACUAGAGUGUGGGAUGGGUAAGUGGAAUUCCUGGUGUAGCGGUGAAAUGCGCAGAUAUCAGGAGGAACACCGGUGGCGAAGGCGGAUCUCUGGGCCUUACCUGACGCUCAGGUGCGAAAGCUAGGGGAGCGAACAGG
rnacentral:rRNA from 1 species